GCGAUCUUUAAUGCAGCAAACUACUGUUUGCGGGUUUCUUUUAUUUAUUUAUUUAUUUAUUUAUUUUUCUCGAGACUUUGACCUCUCGAUAGCCUGCAUUUUCUGAUUUCGUAGUUUGGGUUUGUACUGGAUGUCCCUUUUCCUGCAAUACUCUCAGCAUAGCACAGAUAUAAGAAAUGCAGCAGGCUUUACAGACAGGUGCCUGUCAGAUGAAAUCGUGGCUACAAAGAAAUGAUGAGGCACUUUGCUGGGAGUCGAGCCAGCCGAGAGAUUUACCUGGCUGCCAGGAGAGGGGUGCUGUGCGAGAAGCGCUGCCCUGGGUUGUACCGGCGUGAAUUCUGCUCUGGUUUGGUACGAAAAGGGGAUCUGAGCAGUGCUGGACCUUGUGAUGCGCCUCACAGCAGCUUCGCUGGGGUUCCCACGCGUGCUCCUGGCGGAAGGUGGGGACACCGGCAUGAGACUGCGUUAAUUAGAGUCAGAAGCAUUCCUCCUUAAAGCAAAUAGAGACUGUUUAUUCUUAAGAAAUCCACGCAGGAUGUUACUUCUUUACGUCACAGCCAUCUGGAGACCUAUAAAAAGAUUAGAAAACAAGCACGGCAAUCACAUACUAAUCUACAGGCCAUUAACGGAAUUUAUUAGGGAGUCAGGAGGAAAAAGCAAAUGUUUGGAUUCGGUAGCUUCCAAUGUGCAGAUCAUUUGAAAAGGGAUUUGGGGACUGGGAGAGGGUGCAUGUAGUGUUAUCAGCUGCUAUUAACGUUUCAGACGGUAUUUGUGGCAGUAAUUUCAGAACUACGCGUUGUACAAACUUUUCACAUGCCAGACAAUGCUGCAGGCUUGGAUGUGUAUGUAUGCUAGCAACUGCUCCACGUUUUGUGAUAUUUAGAAUAAGCAGCGACUUUUGUGCAUUUUUCUGGACAGGCGUCGGUUUCAAAGCCCUGCUAGGUGAUUGAGAGGUAGAACAUUUAGUUGGCAAUACAGCUAAUGAACAACUAGGCUGUAACUGUGGUGUUGGCUCUUUUGGCUUACUGAAGCUCUCCUGAUUAGUCAACAAAACGUGGCAGGUGUUUUGCAUUUACUACGUGUGCCAGUGUGUGAGUAAGUGAGGCGGUCUUGAGAAAAGGGCUUGGUGUUUUUAAGAGAGGGCCGGCGGACGGCAGAGCGGCCUGCGCCGGCCGGCAGGAAGGUGAGGGCGGCGGGCGGAGGCUGCGCUGGAUGGAGGCUGCGCCGGAUGGAGGCUGCGCCGGAUGGAGGCCGCCGCCGGGCUCAAUGCACAGCAGAGAUUUUCGCCUGGCGUCCUCUCCACCUUGGCCUCCCGCGGCACGGGACCUCUGACCUCGGCCCACGUUUCGGCGCCGGGAGCCCCCCAUUUUCUCCUCCUCUCACGCCGGGAUCGGCAGCAAGCCGGCAGGAGCGCGCCUGCCUCUCGCCAGCCCCGAGAAACCGAGGAUCUUCCCCCCAAAAAUCACGCACGCACGGUGUUUGCGACCGAGCUGCCACUGUUUGGCUAAAACGCUCUCUGCCUGCAUAGCCUUCAGGGCUCAGGAGCCGGAUUCUCGAGUCAUCUCCUCACUUUCUACCGGAAUGGGUUUUUAUUUUUUUUUUUUUUUUUUUUUUUUUUUUUUUUCCUUCCUCCUUUCACCGCGCUGGAAACUGCCGCUGGCUUUUACGUCUUCAUAGGGGCUAUGAAGAGCCUUUCUUGAGAACGAAGCGAUUUACAAUGCAAAUAGAGGCCUGCGAAGGGACGGAUGCUUCUCGCUCUUCACGCAGCUUGACGCACCUUAAUAGCGGGUUUUAUUUUCUGGUGCGAGCAGACGAAUUGUGGGCUACCGCUGCCGGAGAUCACUGGCUGAAAGGAAAAGUUCGGAAUAAACUUUGGAGGCAACAGAUCUCUUUUUUCUGGGGGGGAUGUUAUUAGCUGCACAUGCACGCAGACACACAAACCAGGUCACAGUUGCAUAAAAGGAUGAAUAUUUUAAAGCGGGACUAGUGUUCUUGGAGGAGACAACACGGCUGAUUGCCAGAAAGAAUUUGGAGUCUAGCAAGGGGGAGGAAAAAAAAAUAAUAAUAAAAAAAUAUUUUUUUAUAAAAAAGCUUUGAGGGAAGCGAGUUGUUAUCUUUGGUUAUCUAGCUGUAUGAGUGUUUUGGUCUUCAUAAAGCUAGAUAACCGAAAGUAAAAACUCCUUCAAGAUCAUCGUACAGCGCGUGAAAAUGAAAGACUACUGCAAGAGACAGUAAAACCCGAGAAAGGUCAGGAAUGCUUAUUGAAUCUAACAUUUUUACAGCUGGAGGUGGGAGUGGAGGAAAUUAAAUGGCGUACUUAUUCCAAAAGGUGAAGUUGUCAGACGCCAGAAUGGAUAGCUAGCUGCUGCGACGAGGAGACGGUCCUGCCGGUAAACAAUGCGCGUGCAACCGCUGCUGUCAUAACAAAACAAAUAAGUAAGGACCCAGGCCAGUUAACGUUGCGCUGGGGUGAGAGGACAUAUAUACCUAUAUAUAUAUACCUAAUACAUAUAUAUAUUCUCAGGAAACUAUUUGGGAAGGCCGAGUUUCAUUUUGCGUAGUGAUUCAUUGCAAUGAAGUGGCCUUGCAAACAAAGCUAGUAGGUGGUGAUGAUGAAGAUGGUGAUACUGUGUGGACCGAACUGAGGGAAAACCAAACCAAACCAAACUGUCUGCGUGCAUCUGAGACAAAGCGUUGGGGGUUUGCUUCGAGUAAUAUGAAAGCAGGCUUUCAAAAAGUUUACACUGAAGGGUAGGCAAGCUUAAUAAUUUAUAUCUACUGAGGACUCGGUGGAGCUGCACAAAGAUGAAAAAAGUGAUGGCCGAUUUUUAUUCUUCUAUUCAGAACGCGAGCACAGAUGCUUCUCUGUUCCGAGAGGGUUUCCUUGAGGAAGCUACUGAAGCAGAAAGACAUGAUGGAGACGAGACCGCCUCCCCCCUUGUCAAAGUGUUAAAAAAUGUUCUGUGUCUUACUCCGCGCCUAGCAUUGGAAAUGAAAGUGACAUUUACUCCCAAA